UUGGGAAACCUGCAGCCCACCAAUCACACCUCACUCUUUUAUUCCCCUUCAUGCUGCGGCAGGCGAAUUCCUCGGUUCAAGGAGGCCCACCAGGUGGCUGUCUGGGGGUCAUCAAAGGUGACCUGGAAAGCCCUUUUCUGCACUGGAGACAUGACGAUGGAAUAGGGACAACAUCUCUUAACAUCAGGAAGGUUACCAGAGGUGACUUGCUGGGAGAAAAGGGUAGAGAGUAGUUCGUGGGGAAUGUGGUUGGAAGAGCUGGGAAACGUCUGCUACUGUGGGGCACAGGCUUCCAAUUAGAACAUGUGGCUGGAUCUAGUGCAGGGUGGGCCCUGCUCCAUCACCACCCUUGAUAUGAAGUGGCAUUGUGCGCCUUCGUCUUGUUUUCCCUAAAUAAGAAGUGCUUUUUACUUAAGAAAUUCAGCCAAGAAUUCUGUUGCCUCUGGUCCUCGUCUCCAUGUCCUUACAUGCCCCACGGCUUGAAGGCGAGGAGCUCUCUCUUCAGGGCCUGCGUUGUUCUCGUAACUUCCGUCCUGCUAUGCCAAUCCUCAAGCCUAGGGAAAAGUGACUGGAGAGACUUAAGAAAAGAAACUAAAUCGGGCUGGGCGUGAUGGCUCAUGCCUGUAAUCCCAGCGCUUUGGGAGGCCGAGGUGGGCGCAUCGCCUAACGUCGGGAGUUCGAGACCAGUGUGACCAAAAUGGAGAAACCCCGUCUCUAUUGAAAAUACAAAAUUAGUCAGGUGUGGUAGCGUAUGCCUGUAAUCCCAGCUACUCGGGAGGCUGAGGCAGGAGAAUCAUUUGAACCCUGGAGGCAGAGGUUGCAGUGAGCUGAGAUUAUGCCACUGCACUCCAGCUUGGGCAACAAGAGUGAAACUCCAUCUCAAAAAAAAAAAAAGAAAAAAAAAGAAACUAAAUCAACAUAAGCAGCUUUGAUUAUUUAAUAAAGGUACCUAUUCUCACUUUAUUUCAAUGUAAAAUGAAUCUAGGAAAAGUAUUACUAGUUAUUCAGGAGCUACAGAGGAGUGUUGUGAUGGUAAUCUAAUAUUCUUAAAUUUUAGAAUAUGUCAUCUUCUGCUUUCUGUUAUUGUUUGUGUGUGUGUGUGUGUGUGCAUGUGCGCUUAUGUUGUGUGCAUGCACACCGUAGGGGUUCAGGAAAACACCAGUGUUAUCCUGUGGAUGUAAG
rnacentral:lncRNA from 1 species